rnacentral:rRNA from 1 species
UACGUAGGGUGCGAGCGUUAAUCGGAAUUACUGGGCGUAAAGCGUGCGUAGGCGGUUUUGUAAGACAGAUGUGAAAUCCCCGGGCUUAACCUGGGAACUGCACUUGUGACUGCACAGCUAGAGUACGGUAGAGGGGGAUGGAAUUCCGCGUGUAGCAGUGAAAUGCGUAGAUAUGCGGAGGAACACCAAUGGCGAAGGCAAUCCCCUGGGCCUGUACUGACGCUCAUGCACGAAAGCGUGGGGAGCAAACAGG